rnacentral:rRNA from 1 species
ACGGAAGGCAGCAGUGGGGAAUAUUGGGCAAUGGGGGAAACCCUGACCCAGCAACGCCGCGUGAGGGAAGAAGGCCUUCGGGUUGUAAACUUCUUUUACCAGGGACGAACAAAUGACGGUACCUGGAGAAAAAGCAACGGCUAACUACGUGCCAGCAGCCGCGGUAAUACGUAGGUUGCAAGCGUUGUCCGGAUUUACUGGGUGUAAAGGGCGUGUAGGCGGAGCUGCAAGUCAGAUGUGAAAUCCCGGGGCACAACCCCGGAACUGCAUUUGAAACUGUAGCCCUUGAGUAUCGGAGAGGCAAGCGGAAUUCCUAGUGUAGCGGUGAAAUGCGUAGAUAUUAGGAGGAACACCAGUGGCGAAGGCGGCUUGCUGGACGACAACUGACGCUGAGGCGCGAAAGCGUGGGGAGCAAACAGGAUUAGAUACCCUGGUA